rnacentral:rRNA from 3 species
GGUCAAGCGAAUAAGCGCACACGGUGGAUGCCUAGGCGGUCAGAGGCGAUGAAGGACGUGGUAGCCUGCGAAAAGUGUCGGGGAGCUGGCAACAAGCUUUGAUCCGGCAAUAUCCGAAUGGGGAAACCCACUGCUUCGGCAGUAUCCUGCAGUGAAUUCAUAGCUGCUGGAAGCGAACCCGGUGAACUGAAAUAUCUAAGUAACCGGAGGAAAAGAAAUCAACCGAGAUUCCCUGAGUAGUGACGAGCGAACGGGGAACAGCCCUUAAGCUGGAAUGGCUUUAGAAAAACAAUCUGGAAAGAUUGGCCAUAGAAGGUGAUAGCCCUGUAUUUAAAAGGGCCACUCCAGUGAAGACGAGUAGGGCGGGGCACGUGAAACCCUGUCUGAAUAUGGGGGGACCAUCCUCCAAGGCUAAAUACUCCUGACCGACCGAUAGUGAACCAGUACCGUGAGGGAAAGGCGAAAAGAACCCCGGAGAGGGGAGUGAAAUAGAUCCUGAAACCGUGUGCGUACAAGCAGUAGGAGCUCGCAAGAGUGACUGCGUACCUUUUGUAUAAUGGGUCAGCGACUUACUGUUCGUGGCAAGCUUAACCGUAUAGGGGAGGCGAAGGGAAACCGAGUCUGAUAAGGGCGCAUAGUCGCGGGCAGUAGACCCGAAACCGGGUGAUCUAGUCAUGGCCAGGGUGAAGGUGCCGUAACAGGUACUGGAGGCCCGAACCCACGUCUGUUGCAAAAGACGGGGAUGAGCUGUGAUUAGGAGUGAAAAGCUAAUCGAACCCGGAGAUAGCUGGUUCUCCUCGAAAGCUAUUUAGGUAGCGCCUCGGACGAAUACUACUGGGGGUAGAGCACUGUUAUGGCUAGGGGGUCAUCGCGACUUACCAAACCAUUGCAAACUCCGAAUACCAGUACGUACUAUCCGGGAGACACACGGCGGGUGCUAACGUCCGUCGUGAAAAGGGAAACAACCCAGACCCACAGCUAAGGUCCCAAAUUCACUGCUAAGUGGAAAACGAUGUGGAAAGGCACAGACAGCCAGGAGGUUGGCUUAGAAGCAGCCACCCUUUAAAGAAAGCGUAAUAGCUCACUGGUCGAGUCGGUCUGCGCGGAAGAUUUAACGGGGCUAAGCAGUGAACCGAAGCUUGGGGUGCAUAAAACUUGUUUUAUGCGCGGUAGAGGAGCGUUCCGUAAGCCUGCGAAGGUGGAUUGAGAAGUCUGCUGGAGGUAUCGGAAGUGCGAAUGCUGACAUGAGUAACGAUAAUGCGGGUGAAAAGCCCGCACGCCGAAAGCCCAAGGUUUCCUUGCGCAACGUUAAUCGACGCAGGGUUAGUCGGUCCCUAAGGCGAGGGCGAAAGCCGUAGUCGAUGGGAAGCAGGUUAAUAUUCCUGCACCUCGCGUGAGUGCGAUGGAGGGACGGAGAAGGUUAGGUGUACCGGGCGUUGGUUGUCCCGGGGAAAGGCGGUAGGUUUGAAUCUUUGGCAAAUCCGGGAUUCUUUAAGACCGAGCACCGAGACGAGCCUUUAUGGCGAAGUCACUGAUACCACGCUUCCAGGAAAAGCUCCUAAGCUUCAGCUCACGAAGACCGUACCGUAAACCGACACAGGUGGGUAGGAUGAGAAUUCUCAGGCGCUUGAGAGAACUCGGGUGAAGGAACUAGGCAACAUGGCACCGUAACUUCGGGAGAAGGUGCACCCUUUUUGGUGGCUCAUGCGAGCUAUAGCUGAAGAGGGUCGCAGAAACCAGGCCGCUGCGACUGUUUAUCAAAAACACAGCACUCUGCAAACACGAAAGUGGACGUAUAGGGUGUGACGCCUGCCCGGUGCUGGAAGGUUAAUUGAUGGGGUCAGCCGCAAGGCGAAGCUCUUGAUCGAAGCCCCAGUAAACGGCGGCCGUAACUAUAACGGUCCUAAGGUAGCGAAAUUCCUUGUCGGGUAAGUUCCGACCUGCACGAAUGGCGUAACGACAGCGGCGCUGUCUCCACCCGAGACUCAGUGAAAUUGAAAUCGCUGUGAAGAUGCAGCGUUCCCGUGGCAAGACGGAAAGACCCCGUGAACCUUUACUAUAGCUUUACACUGAACGUUGAGUUCGUCUGUGUAGGAUAGGUGGGAGGCUAUGAAACUGUGGCGCUAGCUGCAGUGGAGCCAUCCUUGAAAUACCACCCUGUCGUGCUUGACGUUCUAACCUAGGUCCGUUAUCCGGAUCAGGGACCGUGUAUGGUGGGUAGUUUGACUGGGGCGGUCUCCUCCUAAAGAGUAACGGAGGAGCACGAAGGUACGCUCAGCGCGGUCGGACAUCGCGCACUGUGUGCAAAGGCAUAAGCGUGCUUGACUGCAAGAUCGACGGAUCAAGCAGGUACGAAAGUAGGUCUUAGUGAUCCGGUGGUUCUGUAUGGAAGGGCCAUCGCUCAACGGAUAAAAGGUACUCCGGGGAUAACAGGCUGAUACCGCCCAAGAGUUCAUAUCGACGGCGGUGUUUGGCACCUCGAUGUCGGCUCAUCACAUCCUGGGGCUGUAGUCGGUCCCAAGGGUAUGGCUGUUCGCCAUUUAAAGUGGUACGCGAGCUGGGUUCAGAACGUCGUGAGACAGUUCGGUCCCUAUCUGCCAUGGGCGUUGGAAGUUUGAGAGGGGCUGCUCCUAGUACGAGAGGACCGGAGUGGACGAACCUCUGGUGUUCCGGUUGUCACGCCAGUGGCAUUGCCGGGUAGCUAUGUUCGGAAGCGAUAACCGCUGAAAGCAUCUAAGCGGGAAGCGCGCCUCAAGAUGAGACUUCCCGGGGCACAAGCCCCCUAAAGGAACCAUGUAGACUACGUGGUUGAUAGGUCAGGUGUGUAAGUACAGCAAUGUAUUGAGCUAACUGAUACUAAUGAUCCGUGCGGCUUGACCAU